rnacentral:rRNA from 1 species
UACGUAGGGUGCAAGCGUUGUUCGGAAUUAUUGGGCGUAAAGAGCUCGUAGGCGGUCUGUCGCGUCGGCUGUGAAAUCCCGAGGCUCAACCUCGGGUCUGCAGUCGAUACGGGCAAACUAGAGUAUUGCAGGGGAGACUGGAAUUCCUGGUGUAGCGGUGAAAUGCGCAGAUAUCAGGAGGAACACCGGUGGCGAAGGCGGGUCUCUGGGCAAUAACUGACGCUGAGGAGCGAAAGCGUGGGGAGCGAACAGG